UACGUAGGGUGCGAGCGUUAAUCGGAAUUACUGGGCGUAAAGCGUGCGCAGGCGGUUGAGUAAGACAGAUGUGAAAUCCCCGGGCUUAACCUGGGCACUGCAUUUGUGACUGCUUGGCUAGAGUAUGCAAGAGGGGGGUGGAAUUCCACGUGUAGCAGUGAAAUGCGUAGAUAUGUGGAGGAACACCGAUGGCGAAGGCAGCCCCCUGGGGCAAAACUGACGCUCAUGCACGAAAGCGUGGGGAGCAAAC
rnacentral:rRNA from 1 species